GAUGAACGCUGACAGAAUGCUUAACACAUGCAAGUCGAUGGGGAGGUGGUGCUUGCACCAUGGCAACCAUGGCGGACGGGUGAGUAACGCGUAAGGGACUUACCUGCAGGACUGGGAUAACAGGGGGAAACUCCUGACAAGACCGGAUAAUGUCAUGGAGCUGCAUGGCUUUAUGAUGAAAGGAGACGCCUGCGGAGAGCCUUGCGUCCUAUUAGCUAGUUGGUGAGGUAAUGGCUCACCAAGGCGAAGAUAGGUAGCCGGCCUGAGAGGGUGGACGGCCACAAGGGGACUGAGAUACGGCCCUUACUCCUACGGGAGGCAGCAGUGGGGAAUAUUGGACAAUGGGGGCAACCCUGAUCCAGCAAUUCUGUGUGCACGAAGAAGGUUUUCGGAUUGUAAAGUGCUUUCAGCAGGGAAGAAGUAAGUGACGGUACCUGCAGAAGAAGCGACGGCUAAAUACGUG
rnacentral:rRNA from 1 species